rnacentral:rRNA from 1 species
GACGAACGCUGGCGGCGUGCCUAAUACAUGCAAGUCGAGCGAAUGGAUUAAGAGCUUGCUCUUAUGAAGUUAGCGGCGGACGGGUGAGUAACACGUGGGUAACCUGCCCAUAAGACUGGGAUAACUCCGGGAAACCGGGGCUAAUACCGGAUAACAUUUUGAACCGCAUGGUUCGAAAUUGAAAGGCGGCUUCGGCUGUCACUUAUGGAUGGACCCGCGUCGCAUUAGCUAGUUGGUGAGGUAACGGCUAACCAAGGCAACGAUGCGUAGCCGACCUGAGAGGGUGAUCGGCCACACUGGGACUGAGACACGGCCCAGACUCCUACGGGAGGCAGCAGUAGGGAAUCUUCCGCAACGGACGAAAGUCUGACGGAGCAACGCCGCGUGAGUGAUGAAGGCUUUCGGGUCGUAAAACUCUGUUGUUAGGGAAGAACAAGUGCUAGUUGAAUAAGCUGGCACCUUGACGGUACCUAACCAGAAAGCCACGGCUAACUACGUGCCAGCAGCCGCGGUAA